rnacentral:rRNA from 1 species
UGGGGAAUAUUGCACAAUGGGCGGAAGCCUGAUGCAGCGACGCCGCGUGAGGGAUGACGGCCUUCGGGUUGUAAACCUCUUUCGACAGGGACGAAGCGGAAGUGACGGUACCUGGAGAAGAAGCGCCGGCCAACUACGUGCCAGCAGCCGCGGUAAGACGUAGGGCGCGAGCGUUGUCCGGAUUUAUUGGGCGUAAAGAGCUCGUAGGCGGCUCGUUGCGUCGGCUGUGAAAACCCGCAGCUCAACUGUGGGCUUGCAGCUGAUACGGGCGGGCUGGGAUUCGGUAGGGGAGACUGGAAUUCCUGGUGUAGCGGUGAAAUGCGCAGAUAUCAGGAGGAACACCGGUGGCGAAGGCGGGUCUCUGGGCCGAUAUCGACGCUGAGGAGCGAAAGCGUGGGGAGCGAACA